rnacentral:rRNA from 1 species
UACGUAGGGUGCGAGCGUUGUCCGGAUUUAUUGGGCGUAAAGAGCUCGUAGGCGGUUUGUCGCGUCGGCCGUGAAAUCUCCACGCUUAACGUGGAGCGUGCGGUCGAUACGGGCAGACUUGAGUUCGGUAGGGGAGACUGGAAUUCCUGGUGUAGCGGUGAAAUGCGCAGAUAUCAGGAGGAACACCGGUGGCGAAGGCGGGUCUCUGGGCCGAUACUGACGCUGGAGGAGCGAAAAGCGUGGGGAGCGAAACAGG